GAUGAACGCUAGCGGAAGGCUUAAUACAUGCAAGUCGAGCGGUAGGUGGCUUCGGCCAUUGAGAGCGGCGCACGGGUGAGUAACGCGUACAUGACCUACCUGUCAGAAGGGGAUAGCCCUGGGAAACUGGGAUUAAUACCCUAUGGUAUUGAUAUUAUGAAUGAUAUCAAUUAAAGUUGAGGCGCUGACAGAUGGAUGUGCGUCUGUUUAGCUAGUUGGUAGGGUAACGGCCUACCAAGGCGACGAUCAGUAGGGGGCGUGAGAGCGUGGUCCCCCACACGGGUACUGAGACACGGACCCGACUCCUACGGGAGGCAGCAGUAAGGAAUAUUGGUCAAUGCCCGCAAGGGUGAACCAGCCAUUCCGCGUGGAGGAUGAAGGCCCUAUGGGUUGUAAACUUCUUUUAGAUGGGAAGAAAAUGCUAGAUGUAUCUGGUACUGACGGUACCAUCAGAAUAAGCACCGGCUAACUCCGUGCCAGCAGCCGCCGUAAGAC
rnacentral:rRNA from 1 species